rnacentral:lncRNA from 1 species
UGAUAAAAUGGACAAGAUUUUACUACUUGCAGUACAAUCAAUGUACUUGCUACUAUUGUUGUAAUAAAAUGUACGUUUGUGACAUGGUUGAACUAAUCUAUAAAAGGAGUCAAAUUUGUUACACUGGAUAUACUAAGGGGAAAUCGAAGAAGAAGCAGAAGAUGACACUUUGUUGGUGACUUUGGUCUCGAAAGAGUAUUGGUUAGUAUUAUUGGUCUCGUAUACACCCACUUAGGCCCAAAAUAUAGAUUUUUCACUAUGUGUGUGUGUUUUUUUUUUUUUAAUUUUAUAUUUACAUAAACAAAACUGUUUUUUGCAAAAAUGUGGUCUGUCUCUUUUCUUUAACUCUUGUAUAUACAACAACAACCACUUAAAAUCUUGUAUAUAGCAAAAACAUUAUGCACCGGGUCGUCUUGCUAUUUAUUGUUUGAUAAAUACUUGUGUGAUCUAUGGCAUCAACCACUAAUUUUCUCAUUACCAUAAUGGCCACCAUUUUUACAUAUCUUUUUCUAUGUACCAUAAACCCCAAGUUUUAUAUUUUUUUCAAUAUACCUUAAACCAAAAUUUAAUAAAUUAUCCUUAUGUAAAGUGUGUAUAAGAUUGUCCCUUUUUCUUUACAACAGCUCCGUUUCCUUAUUUGAAAAUGUUAAGAUCAGUCAACUUCAUGAUUUCACUUGUUUUCUCCUUUCCGCUAAUUACAAGUGCAUUCAUCCAAGACCGUUUUAUUACAUUCCCUCGGUGCUAAAUUGAUCAAAUAGGUUAUUUUGACGGACAACAUAAUUAUCAAUUAUGCGCAAUGUAUUUAGCCUUCUAGAUUAGAGUUUAAUUAUCCAAUAGUACUAUGUUUUCCAACUAUAAAGAAUUUAGAUGAAAUAUCACAUCAAUUUAACAUCUAAAUCAACUUGAGAACAUAUUAAGUAAGAUGGAGUGCUUAGUUUAUAUUACUCUUGAAAACGCAGGACAGACAACUGCAAGGGAUAACAUUAUUCUUACUAUUAACCAAAGAGGACCUCGAAAGCAUGAUAAAAAUUUAAGAAAUUCCGGUUUUACUCUAAUUAACCUUGACACCUUAUUCAUGAAAACCCAAGUUUUUCAAAACGGGUAACUUGCAGAUGAAAUUAUAGGACUUAACUUUUAUUUACUCAUAGUGCAAUCAAAUAUAUAUUUCCACCCCAUUGCAAUUUAACCUAGUGCAUAAGGUUGCAGCUUGUGUUAUUGUUUAGGUUAGUAGUUCACUUGUUUUAUGUAGUUACCUGCAAUUACAUUUCAAGUGAGCAGAUAAUGUAAAAAAUUUAUACUAUCAAUGUAUGUAUAUAGUUAAGGUCAUUGUUGAAUAGUACGAAAGAAGAAGCAUCGAUGUAUGGACACAGCAUUAGACUUUUGGAACCAAAGUCACCAACAAAGUCUCAAAUUUCUCAUCUCCAAGUCAGGUGUUUUGGAACAGCCAACAACUUUGUUUCUCAAUGAUUUCUAUUGUUAUGUUUUAAUUUGUUCCACUUGGAGAAUGUAACCAUAUAGAUGCAGAGUUAGCCCCUGCGUUUUGAUUAUUCUUUGGCGUCUCAUGUUAUUGUGAUAUUAUUCAACAACCCCUCCCCCUCCCCUUCCAUUUUUUUUCCCUUUUGACGCAUACUAGGUACUUCUUACAAUUCCUUGAGCAACAAAAAGGUUGUCUACACGAAAAUCUGCUUCGCCUUGCAAAGGGAAUAAUGAAGCAUCAUCUUUCAUUUUGGCCAGAGACUGCAUAACUAGUUAGUAUAUACAAUUAGAGGUAGAUACUUUUCCAAUUAGAAUUGAAUAUUAGUUCUUCCUCUCCAAUAAGAUCUAUCCUGCAAAUAAAUAAAUAUUUUACUAAAGCUCUUUAAGAUACCUUAUCAAAUUAGAAAAAAUACUAAAAUUCUUUAAGGUAAAAAAAAAAGACAAUAACACAGAGAUUGCUAAAUGCAGAAUAUGGGGCAAUAAUUACCAUCAUUAGCAUCAAACAAUGAGAGCACCAUUCUCGUUAUAUUUUCUUUCGUCAUACUAUAUCUUCCAAAACUCAAAUUUAAUAAACUACUAUAUGUUUGUUAUAUAGGUAGAAUAUAUUUAUCCAGAUUGAUAAAAGAAUAAAGUAAAGGGAAACAAAAUAACAUGGCAAGUUGUUUAUUAUUAUUAUUAGCACGAGAAUAUGAUCUAAACAUAAUCUAAUUAGGAAUAAUCGUGUAAGAGCAAUGUUUAAUUUAACAUGUUGGCCAACAAGAACAAUUCAUUGUCUAUCCUGUAAUAAUUGAUUCUCUAGGAUAUUAUUACAAAAAAAUAGAAUAUGGAUAACAACUCAAGAGGAUUUGGUAAAAUUUUACUAACAGAGCGAUCCAUACAACUCAAUUGACGAAAUUUUGUCCAAAAAAUUGUACUACACAAGCUUAAUUAUAUACAAUACAAUAUAUACUUAAUCAAACUACUUAACUAAUUAAAGUAGUAUGGGUGAUUUUAGAAGAAGAAAAAAUAAUAAUAAAUGCUUCCCAUUCUUUUUGAAAGUGUUACAUAUUUAACAAAAUCAAUUUGACAAAACGACUAAAAUGUCAAUUUUAAAGUAGUAGUACAUUAAUACUUCACUUCAAAAUCCUUAAUAUUAUGUCAUUUAUAAUUAAUUAAUGAUAGGCUAAUAUUUUACCACUAUUGCUUUUGCCAUUAUUCAAAAUUGUAUGUAUGUACAAACAAAAAAAUUGAGACUCAUAAGCAGCGGUUUCCUUCGCAAACAAUCAUUCUUCAACAAGAAUUCAUUCUAGAAUUGUAAUUGCACUUAAUUUUAAAGUCUUAAUAUGGUAAGAUAUCUGGUUUGACAAUUUUAUCCACAUAGAAUUAUUUAUUAAAACAAUAAUUUAGGGCCAUUUUUGUCU